AAAGCAGGACGCAAUUACAGUGCUCAAUUUUGUGGGAGUACUGCCAUUAUCCUGCUGAGAGCAUCAUCUACAGUA